rnacentral:rRNA from 1 species
AUAUACGACCGUACCGCAAACCGACACUGGUGCGCGAGAUGAGUAUUCUAAGGCGCUUGAGAGAACUCAGGAGAAGGAACUCGGCAAAUUGACACCGUAACUUCGGAAGAAGGUGUGCCCUAUUAGUGUGUAGUGAACAACGAAGCAUGAAUGGGUUGCAAAAAAUCGGUGGCUGCGACUGUUUAUUAAAAACACAGCACUCUGCAAACACGAAAGUGGACGUAUAGGGUGUGACGCCUGCCCGGUGCUGGAAGAUUAAAUGAUGGGGUGCAAGCUCUUGAUUGAAGUCCCAGUAAACGGCGGCCGUAACUAUAACGGUCCUAAGGUAGCGAAAUUCCUUGUCGGGUAAGUUCCGACCUGCACGAAUGGCGUAACGAUGGCCACACUGUCUCCUCCUGAGACUCAGCGAAGUUGAAAUGUUUGUGAUGAUGCAAUCUCCCCGCGGAAAGACGGAAAGACCCCAUGAACCUUUACUGUAGCUUUGUAUUGGACUUUGAACAGAUCUGUGUAGGAUAGGUGGGAGGCUUUGAAGCAGGGUCGCUAGAUCUUGUGGAGCCAACGUUGAAAUACCACCCUGGUGUGUUUGAGGUUCUAACCUAGGUCCAUUAUCUGGAUCGGGGACAGUGCAUGGUAGGCAGUUUGACUGGGGCGGUCUCCUCCCAAAGCGUAACGGAGGAGUUCGAAGGUACGCUAGUUACGGUCGGACAUCGUGACGAUAGUGCAAUGGCAUAAGCGUGCUUAACUGCGAGACUGACAAGUCGAGCAGAUGCGAAAGCAGGACAUAGUGAUCCGGUGGUUCUGUAUGGAAGGGCCAUCGCUCAACGGAUAAAAGGUACUCUGGGGAUAACAGGCUGAUACCGCCCAAGAGUUCAUAUCGACGGCGGUGUUUGGCACCUCGAUGUCGGCUCAUCUCAUCCUGGGGCUGUAGCCGGUCCCAAGGGUAUGGCUGUUCGCCAUUUAAAGAGGUACGUGAGCUGGGUUUAAAACGUCGUGAGACAGUUUGGUCCCUAUCUUCCGUGGGCGCUGCAGAUUUGAGGAAGCCUGCUCCUAGUACGAGAGGACCGGAGUGGACACACCUCUGGUGUAUCGGUUGUCACGCCAGUGGCAUUGCCGAGUAGCUAAGUGUGGAAGAGAUAACCGCUGAAAGCAUCUAAGCGGGAAACUCGUUUCAAGAUGAGAUCUGCCGGGGCCUUGAGCCCCCUAAAGAGUCGUUCAAGACCAGGACGUUGAUAGGUCAGGUGUGGAAGCAAA